rnacentral:rRNA from 1 species
CAGUAGCCGCGGUAAUACGUAGGUCCCGAGCGUUGUCCGGAUUUAUUGGGCGUAAAGCGAGCGCAGGCGGUUAGAUAAGUCUGAAGUUAAAGGCUGUGGCUUAACCAUAGUACGCUUUGGAAACUGUUUAACUUGAGUGCAAGAGGGGAGAGUGGAAUUCCAUGUGUAGCGGUGAAAUGCGUAGAUAUAUGGAGGAACACCGGUGGCGAAAGCGGCUCUCUGGCUUGUAACUGACGCUGAGGCUCGAAAGCGUGGGGAGCAAACAGGAUUAGAUACCCGCGUAGUCCCUGUCUCUUAUACC